GCUCCCAGGCAAUCCUGGAAAAUGCCGUGUCCAAGGCUCUGCUUCCCACGGUGCUGUUUAUUUUUGUGGACUAUUGAUUUUCUGCCAGGAUUGAGUGGAUUUAAUUUUAACUGAUGGUCCAGUGGUUCAUCCCAGCUUUAAAUUAUUGGUGAGCUUCAUGUCCCACGUUUGCAGCAUUCCAGUGCCUGGAAAGUGAGGGGAUUCCACACAAAUACCUGGGCAGGAGCAGCCAAAGGCAAGAGGAUGGUUUCAACUGCAGGCAAAACGCUGGAACAAAGGACAAGCUGUAUCUGAAAAGGAAAAUAUGGGGAAAUAAUCCCAAUCUCGUCAGUUCUGAACCUAACAGGAAUGUUGGAAUUGUCACUAAACUGAGUAGUUUUACUUCUGGCUUUUGGAGGCCUGAGUUCAUCUUCUUUGCUUGGAUUCACACUUAUAUAAGCAGGAAAAUCGAUGGAAAUAAAUUUCCAAUAGCAGCAGUUCAAACCCAUCUGGCUGUUCAAACUCUGGUUGGUGUCCCCCUGUAACACCCACACCUGGGAUGAGCCUGUGCUGCUCCGGGAGCAUCAGGAAUUUUUGUGGGAUCAGAGAUCCUCAAACCUCAUGCAGGUGUGUCCCUGGAAGUUCCAGGAGAGCUGAAGGAUGCCCAGAGCUGGAAUUCCCUCACCAGAGGAGCCUCAUCCUUGGAUGUGCUGAAGAGCAGUUCGGAGGCACCGUGGGCUGUGAGUGAUCCAAUAUCAUCAAAACCACUGAACUGAUCAGUUUAAUUCUAUUUUUAUCCCUCUCCUGUAACUAUUGAUUAACUUUUAACCCAGUUUUCAGGUGUGAGGUUUAUUUCCAUUCACCUGUCCCACCCCAGUGGCUGCUGCUGCUGAGCAGGCAGCACCAGGAGGCUCGGGGAUUUCAGAGCUGCUUUACCCAGCCUGGAUUUGUGGCAAAAUCCAUCAUAAAUCUACAUAAUUCUGAGUGUUUGCUGCUCCUUAAGCCAUUAAACAGAGAAUAUCCAGGGACAUCCAUCAGUGUCUCCCCACCCAAGUGUCGCAGCCGCUGGAGCGUCGAUGCUGACGGACUUCUCCAUGGUUUUGCCUGAGAGGAGUAAUUAAUCCUGACUUUCUGACAGCAGCAGAGCUGGCUGAGCAUCCACAUUCAUCUCCCUCAGAAAAGAACCACGGAAGGAAUCGGUGUUGGGAUCACAACAGAAUUUCUCCUUUUUUAGAACCGGAAAAAAAAAGUGGGAGCUGGAGUAUUGACACCAAAGAAGUUCCAGCAGCAGUUUUGUCUCUGUCUUCAGCCCCUCUGCUCUGGAGCUGCUAUGGAAACGGCUGCUCCCAGGAGUUUCCUCUCUAGAUUGAGUUGGAGAAGGGAUUAUUUAAAAUCAGAAGCCAUGGAUGUAGCACAACUGGACUUCAAGGGGAUACAGAGGAAAAUCAGGAGGCACAAGUGAAAAAUAAAACUGCUGUCUGGAAAAGAUGGAGCAGGAGCUUAGGGAAAAGGUUCCCUGGUCCAGGAUAAGCCGUUGGGGCAGCGAUGGGAAUGGAAAAGCACAGAAGAGCUCUUGGAAGUCAGUGUGGAAAAGAGGGAAGAGGGGAAGAGCUCACUGCAGGCAGAGGUUUAAUGAGAGAAACUCUUUUUAGGGGCCCGGAGGUGCCACAUGGCCCAAAAUCUCUUGAAAUCUGCAACAUCUGAGCACAUUAGCAAAGACCUCAUCUUCUUUCCAGCAGGGAGCUGAGCAGAAGCCAGGAUCCAGUGAAGCCAUGGAGCGGCUGGACUGUCUGAGAUCCUGGUUAUUCCCAUUUCCCUGGCACCAGUGAGUGGAGGAACCCCCAGGAGAAGGGGUGCGAGAGCCACGGAUCCCUCUGUGCCAGGCAGGAGCAUUCCCAGGGCUAGGGAUAGUCCUAAAAUUGUACUGCCACUAAAGAAGGGAUAAAAGGGCUCUGUGCUGUCUGCAGUGUAGGGAUAAUCAAUGAAAUGCAGGAUAAUUUAAUAUUUUCAGGAGUGCAGGGCUUGAUGGGUUUGGGAAUUUAUUCAAUGAAACUUUCAGUUCAGUGUUAGAGAAUUGGAUCAGUGACCCCUAAAAUAGUCCUGCCACAAACCCAAACUCACUGUGCCCUCCUCUGGAAUAUCUGCCUCUGGAAGUCACUCAUUUUGAGAGGAGAUUAUUUAUCUUGGCAGCUCUCAGAGCUGGCACAGCUCCUGUGGACGCCACUGGUGCCUCUUGGAUGUCUGGUCCAGCAGGAUCUGACGCGAGGCUGGGCACGUGUCUGACCCCCCUGCUGGCUUUCUCACUGCCUUCCUCCCAAGUUCUCCAGGUCUGUGCACCACCAGCAGCCCCUGCCCCUUUGCUGGGUGCACAGGGGGAAAUCAAUUCUGAUUAUGGGAUCCUUAAUUAUAGUCCUUCCGGGUAGAAAAGCCCUCUGUGAUCAUCAAGUCCAGCCAUCAACCAGCACCACCACCAUGGUCACCACUGUGUCCUCAGCUGCCUUUGGCUGCUUUGAUCCAACCCCUAAAGUUUCUCCUCUGGAAUUUAGACUUUUCCAUGAUUAGUAAUAAUUUCAUUUUGGUUCAUAUUUUGGUUCUCCUGAAAUGGGCAGGAGACACAUUUGUAUGUAAAACAUGACUGCGUGUCCUUGAUCCUGGGGCUCCACUGGGUAAGGAAAGCUUGUUUUCCCAGAGGAAUUAAUGUCUUGUUCACUAAUUAAUUCAGGAAGGAUUUCCUUCUGGAAAGGCCUUGGCAGGGGCUGCCCAGGGAGGCUUGGAGUCCCCAUCCCUGAAGGUGUCCAAGGAAGGCCUGGACAUGGCACUCAGAGCUCUGGGCUGGGGACAGGGUGGGCAUCCAAGGUUGGACACUGCUCCUGAAGGGCUUUUCCAACCUCAGUAAUUCUGUGAUCCUUAAGGAAAAGCCCAUUUUUAGCAGGCAAUAUUCAUUCAUCAACCACGUGCACCUUCCUAAAAGGAUGUGUGAUAUAUAUGAACACCCCCAUAACUAUGAAAUUGUGUAGGUGCCACUCGAUGGAACAUCCCCCAGCCCCAGCAAUCACUUGUACAUCACAGAGUCCUCACUGCAGCCAGAACUCCAUAAUCACAAAAUGAUUAGAAAGCCAUAAAAAACAAAGUUGUUUUGUCAGGAUCAUUUCCUCCCUGAUCACAGGGCUGAUGGAAAGUGGCUCUGGGCUUAAGUGAUAGAUGAGAGCCAUUAAUAGAGCCAGAGUGCUUCCCAGGCUGCUUGUAGCCAAAAUUAAAAGGGGAUUUUACCAGUCCUGGAUAGUUGGGAAGCCUGGAGAGUUGGCUGGGUGUUUUGGUGGGGUUGGUGUAAAAUACAGCCUCUCACAGCCAUGAAUUGCAUUAUUAUUCAUGAAUAAUUUCCUUAUAGUUAUUAUUUUGAUGGUGUAAGGUUAGAAAUUCCCCUCUUACUCCUCUGUUCACCUGUGAGCACAUCUUGGCUUUGUCAAAGGCCUUUAGAAAAAUCCUGGAAUAACAUCCUGAUGACACAAACCUCCCUUGUCUCCCUCUGGCAUUUGGCACUUUACAGGAGUAUAAAGCAAACUGCACAAACCCUGUUUCCAGAAAACUCCUGGGUGAAAUCCUGGUUAUGCACAGGAAAUGGUUGUGUGGGGGCUCCAGGGGGGCUGGAGAGGGA